rnacentral:rRNA from 1 species
CCUACGGGGGGCAGCAGUGGGGAAUAUUGGACAAUGGGGGCAACCCUGAUCCAGCCAUGCCGCGUGUGUGAAGAAGGCCCUCGGGUUGUAAAGCACUUUCAGUGAGGAAGAACGCCUGGUGGUUAAUACCCAUCAGGAAAGACAUCACUCACAGAAGAAGCACCGGCUAACUCCGUGCCAGCAGCCGCGGUAAUACGGAGGGUGCGAGCGUUAAUCGGAAUUACUGGGCGUAAAGCGCGCGUAGGUGGCUUGAUAAGCCGGUUGUGAAAGCCCCGGGCUCAACCUGGGAACGGCAUCCGGAACUGUCAAGCUAGAGUGCAGGAGAGGAAGGUAGAAUUCCCGGUGUAGCGGUGAAAUGCGUAGAGAUCGGGCGGAAUACCAGUGGCGAAGGCGGCCUUCUGGACUGACACUGACACUGAGGUGCGAAAGCGUGGGUAGCAAACAGGAUUAGAUACCCUAGUAGUC